CGUGCACCCCUGGCUCGGCACCGUUUCAGGGUCCAGGUGACUCAUUGCCACACGAGUGGAACGCCCUGCAGAGAUAGAAGACGGGUGUAUCACAGGAGGGCUUAGGGUUAUUCCUGCCUCCUGUCUCUUGCUGAAAAGGUAACUGUGUGUGUGUGGCAAGCUUGGUGUGGCACCUGGAGCUUUUAUUAAUUGUUUGAUUUUGUUUGUUUUGUAGGUGCCAACAUCCUCGCAUUGCCGUUUUGUUCUGGGUCUUUUAUUAUUAGUUCUUUUAAAGUUAUUUUUAUGGAUUAAUUGUUGUUUCUAUUAUUUGCCGUCCUUUUACUAAUACAUAUCCGUUGUUGUGUUCCCCUCAGGAUACUGAUUUUAGCUGCUACCAGCGGUUGGCGUGGAGGCCCCGCAGUGGCGCCAACAGACAGGAUUGGGAGUGGUGUGAGGUGGCCCAGCACUGCUUCGUUUGUAUUGGUUUUUACCUUCUUUUUGAUUAUACAUAGGUUGCUGUGGUUUUUCUUAAGCUUAAUUUAUUUGGUUUUAACUGCAUGUUGUGUGU